AGUGCUGCCAUAAGCUCCUGUAGCGUGACAUCAUUUAUAAGAAUGAGGAAAUCACACAGUAAAUGAUGCAUUUGAAUUUUUUUUUCUCAGGAAAAAAAAAUGAGAUUUGAAAACAAAAUGGGUUUUGGAACCUGGCAAGGAAGAGAUUGCUUCUCUACUCAAAAACCUUACACAUUUAAGAUGAUAUUCUCAGGUUGUGACGAUGAUAUUCUCAGCUUGUGACAUCAUAAUGUAGCAUCUGAAGCUUGCAGACAAGAGAGUGAGGAGGAGAGGAGUACUUUGCAGGCUAUCUCAUCUCAUCCACAAAGUGGAGGUCAGCGGUUCUAAAGAUGCUUUGUUGCUCUCUAAAUUUCACUACCCCUUUCAACACCUGAGUCACUGAGUCAACCAUAUCCAAACUACUCUACUGGACUCCUCAGUACCUCUGCACCAAUCCUACAUCCUUCCAUCUGGGACCAAGAGCAAGCCAAUAAUGCAAAUGUUAUGCCAGAUUCUGGAUCUGAUAAGCUUCUUACAACAUCUGUCUCUUUAAGUUCUCGGGAGACAAAUUCACUGAUUCAGUCUUGUCUACGUGCGGCAAAUGGAUGGAAGAAUCUGCUCCGUGCCAACAGCAGUGAUAGAUCACUUUGUGAGAGAAAGAAACACUCAAAUACAUAAAACUGGCAACACA